rnacentral:rRNA from 1 species
CGCAAUGGGCGAAAGCCUGAUGGAGCGACGCCGCGUGACUGAUGAAGCAUUUCGGUGUGUAAAGGUCUUUUAUGAGGAAUGACAUAGCGACAGUACCUCAUGAAUAAGGGGCUGCUAAUCACGUGCCAGCAGCAGCGGUAAUACGUGAGCCCCAAGCGUUAUCCGGAAUUACUGGGCGUAAAGUGUGCGUAGGUGGCGUUGUUAGUCUCCUGUUAAAUCCUCUGGCUCAACCAGAGAACCCUAGGGGAAACGGCAAUGCUCGAGUGUGUAAGAGGUAAGCAGAACUCAUGGUGUAGGGGUGAAAUCCGUUGAUAUCAUGGGGAAUACCAAAUGCGAAGGCAGCUUACUGGUACAUUACUGACACUGAGGCACGAAAGCGUAGGUAG